CCUACGGGGGGCAGCAGUGGGGAAUAUUGCACAAUGGGCGCAAGCCUGAUGCAGCCAUGCCGCGUGUAUGAAGAAGGCCUUCGGGUUGUAAAGUACUUUCAGUCGUGAGGAAGGUGUUAAGGUUAAUAACCUUAGCAAUUGACGUUAGCGACAGAAGAAGCACCGGCUAACUCCGUGCCAGCAGCCGCGGUAAUACGGAGGGUGCGAGCGUUAUUCGGGAUUACUGGGCGGACAGGGCACGCAGGCGGUUGAGUUAAGUGGAUGUUAAAUCCCCCGGGUUUACCUUGGGAUGGCAUUCAAGACAUGGUAGGUAAAAGCUUGUAGGAGGGGGUAGAAUUCCAUGUGUAGCGGUGAAAUGCGUAGAGAUGUGGAGGAAUACCGGUGGCGAAGGCGGCCCCCUGGACAAAGACUGACGCUCAUGUGCGAAAGCGUGGGGAGCAAACAGGAUUAGAUACCCCAGUAGUC
rnacentral:rRNA from 1 species